ACCCACUCCCGGCACGGGGAGGUAGUGACGAAAAAUAACGAUACGGGACUCAUCCGAGGCCCCGUAAUCGGAAUGAGUACACUCUAAACCCUUUAACGAGGAUCAAUUGGAGGGCAAGUCUGGUGCCAGCAGCCGCGGUAAUUCCAGCUCCAAUAGCGUAUAUUAAAGUUGUUGCGGUUAAAAAGCUCGUAGUCGAAUCUGUGUCUCGCGCCGCCGGUUCAUCGCUCGCGGUGUUUAACUGGCGUGUCGCGGGACGUCCUGCCGGUGGGCUCAGCCUCCUUCGCGGGGGGCGGCCCAACUACGCAUCCCGCCGCGGUGCUCUUCGCUGAGUGUCGAGGUGGGCCGGCACGUUUACUUUGAACAAAUUANAGUGCUUAAAGCAGGCUCAAACUUCGCCUGAAUAUUCUGUGCAUGGAAUAAUGGAAUAGGACCUCGGUUCUAUUUUGUUGGUUUUCGGAACCCCGAGGUAAUGAUUAAUAGGAACGGAUGGGGGCAUUCGUAUUGCGACGUUAGAGGUGAAAUUCUUGGAUCGUCGCAAGACGGACGGAAGCGAAAGCAUUUGCCAAAAACGUUUUCAUUGAUCAAGAACGAAAGUUAGAGGUUCGAAGGCGAUCAGAUACCGCCCUAGUUCUAACCAUAAACGAUGCCAGCUAGCGAUCCGCCGACGUUCCUCCGAUGACUCGGCGGGCAGCUUCCGGGAAACCAAAGCUUUUGGGUUCCGGGGGAAGUAUGGUUGCAAAGCUGAAACUUAAAGGAAUUGACGGAAGGGCACCACCAGGAGUGGAGCCUGCGGCUUAAUUUGACUCAACACGGGAAACCUCACCAGGCCCGGACACCGGAAGGAUUGACAGAUUGAGAGCUCUUUCUUGAUUCGGUGGGUGGUGGUGCAUGGCCGUUCUUAGUUGGUGGAGCGAUUUGUCUGGUUAAUUCCGAUAACGAACGAGACUCUAGCCUGCUAACUAGGCGUACUUUCGACAUCUGAAAGGCCCCACGGCCCGGCGCUCUCGCGUCGCGGUCGCGCGCGGUUUUUACUGUCGGCGUACAAUCAAUUCUUCUUAGAGGGACAGGCGGCUUCUAGCCGCACGAGAUUGAGCAAUAACAGGUCUGUGAUGCCCUUAGAUGUUCUGGGCCGCACGCGCGCUACACUGAAGGAAUCAGCGUGUCCUCCCUGCCCGAGAGGGCCGGGUAACCCGCUGAACCUCCUUCGUGCUAGGGAUUGGGGCUUGCAAUUGUUCCCCAUGAACGAGGAAUUCCCAGUAAGCGCGAGUCAUAAGCUCGCGUUGAUUACGUCCCUGCCCUUUGUACACACCGCCCGUCGCUACUACCGAUUGAAUGAUUUAGUGAGGUCUUCGGACCGGUACGCGGCGGCGCUCCCGCGUCGCCGAUGUUGCUGGGAAGAUGACCAA
rnacentral:rRNA from 1 species